GCGAGGGGUCGAGCAGUUGCUCGACCGACGCGUAGAACGCGUCCAGAUCAGCGUGCAGAAUCGCUGCCCCCGCG
rnacentral:tRNA from 1 species